rnacentral:rRNA from 1 species
GCGAGACCUAGUCCCCCCUCUCUAAAAGGGGGGGCGACAUUGUCAAAUUGCGGGGAUGUCCUAAAGGCUUUGAUACCAAGCGGGCGGUGGAAACGCCUCCGUGGCCGGGCCGAAAAGACCUCGGGUAGGGUGGAAAUGCAGAGCAUGAGCCUCGUGGUGAAAUGGACGAUCCGCAGCCAAGUCCUAAGGCCGUCGGCUAUGGACGCAGUUCACGGACUAAAUGGCAAUGGGCCUGGAUGGCUUAAGUUAUAGUCGGUCCGCCCCGAGAGGGGUCUAUGGAUGAGAGUCCAUGGGAUAUGGGGAUUGUAUGCUAGUAGCUGGUUCCUGCCGAAGUUUCCCUCAGGAUAGCAGAAGCUUGUACAGUUUUAUGAGGUAAAGCGAAUGAUUAGAGGCCUUGGGGUCGAAAUGACCUUAACCUAUUCUCAAACUUUAAAUAUGUAAGAAGUCCUUGUCACUUAGUUGGACCUGGACACUCGAAUGAGAGCUUCUAGUGGGCCAUUUUUGGUAAGCAGAACUGGCGAUGCGGGAUGAACCGAACGUGGGGUUAAGGUGCCGGAAUGCACGCUCAUCAGACACCAUAAAAGGUGUUGGUUCAUCUAG